rnacentral:tRNA from 1 species
GGCAGCAUGCCAGAGUGGUUAAUGGGUGGGAUUUGAAUCAGCUAUUGUUCCCCAUCCCAUGGGUUCGCCCGCGCAGGUUCGAACCCUGCUGCUGUCG